rnacentral:rRNA from 1 species
GGUGUGUCGUGAGGCAUGCUGGAGGUAUCAGAAGUGCGAAUGCUGACAUAAGUAACGAUAAAGCGGGUGAAAAGCCCGCUCGCCGGAAGACCAAGGGUUCCUGUCCAACGUUAAUCGGGGCAGGGUGAGUCGACCCCUAAGGCGAGGCCGAAAGGCGUAGUCGAUGGGAAACGGGUUAAUAUUCCCGUACUUGGUGUUACUGCGAAGGGGGGACGGAGAAGGCUAUGUUGGCCGGGCGACGGUUGUCCCGGUUUAAGCGUGUAGGCUGGUUUUCCAGGCAAAUCCGGAAAAUCAAGGCUGAGGCGUGAUGACGAGGCACUACGGUGCUGAAGCAACAAAUGCCCUGCUUCCAGGAAAAGCCUCUAAGCAUCAGGUAACAUCAAAUCGUACCCCAAACCGACACAGGUGGUCAGGUAGAGAAUACCAAGGCGCUUGAGAGAACUCGGGUGAAGGAACUAGGCAAAAUGGUGCCGUAACUUCGGGAGAAGGCACGCUGACACGUAGGUGAAGUGAUUUACUCAUGGAGCUGAAGUCAGUCGAAGAUACCAGCUGGCUGCAACUGUUUAUUAAAAACACAGCACUGUGCAAACACGAAAGUGGACGUAUACGGUGUGACGCCUGCCCGGUGCCGGAAGGUUAAUUGAUGGGGUCAGCGCAAGCGAAGCUCCUGAUCGAAGCCCCGGUAAACGGCGGCCGUAACUAUAACGGUCCUAAGGUAGCGAAAUUCCUUGUCGGGUAAGUUCCGACCUGCACGAAUGGCGUAAUGAUGGCCAGGCUGUCUCCACCCGAGACUCAGUGAAAUUGAACUCGCUGUGAAGAUGCAGUGUACCCGCGGCAAGACGGAAAGACCCCGUGAACCUUUACUAUAGCUUGACACUGAACAUUGAGCCUUGAUGUGUAGGAUAGGUGGGAGGCUUUGAAGUGUGGACGCCAGUCUGCAUGGAGCCGACCUUGAAAUACCACCCUUUAAUGUUUGAUGUUCUAACGUGGACCCGUUACCCGGGUUGCGGACAGUGUCUGGUGGGUAGUUUGACUGGGGCGGUCUCCUCCUAAAGAGUAACGGAGGAGCACGAAGGUUGGCUAAUCCUGGUCGGACAUCAGGAGGUUAGUGCAAUGGCAUAAGCCAGCUUGACUGCGAGCGUGACGGCGCGAGCAGGUGCGAAAGCAGGUCAUAGUGAUCCGGUGGUUCUGAAUGGAAGGGCCAUCGCUCAACGGAUAAAAGGUACUCCGGGGAUAACAGGCUGAUACCGCCCAAGAGUUCAUAUCGACGGCGGUGUUUGGCACCUCGAUGUCGGCUCAUCACAUCCUGGGGCUGAAGUAGGUCCCAAGGGUAUGGCUGUUCGCCAUUUAAAGUGGUACGCGAGCUGGGUUUAGAACGUCGUGAGACAGUUCGGUCCCUAUCUGCCGUGGGCGCUGGAGAACUGAGGGGGGCUGCUCCUAGUACGAGAGGACCGGAGUGGACGCAUCACUGGUGUUCGGGUUGUCAUGCCAAUGGCACUGCCCGGUAGCUAAAUGCGGAAGAGAUAAGUGCUGAAAGCAUCUAAGCACGAAACUUGCCCCGAG